UGCAGUCGACGGUGAAGCCCAGCUUGCUGGGUGGAUCAGUGGCGAACGGGUGAGUAACACGUGAGCAACCUGCCCUCCACUUCGGGAUAAGCCUUGGAAACGGGGUCUAAUACCGGAUAUGAGCUCGCAUCGCAUGGUGUGGGUUGGAAAGUUUUUCGGUGGGGGAUGGGCUCGCGGCCUAUCAGCUUGUUGGUGGGGUGAUGGCCUACCAAGGCGUCGACGGGUAGCCGGCCUGAGAGGGCGACCGGCCACACUGGGACUGAGACACGGCCCAGACUCCUACGGGAGGCAGCAGUGGGGAAUAUUGCACAAUGGGCGCAAGCCUGAUGCAGCGACGCCGCGUGAGGGAUGACGGCCUUCGGGUUGUAAACCUCUUUCAGCAGGGAAGAAGCGCAAGUGACGGUACCUGCAGAAGAAGCGCCGGCUAACUACGUGCCAGCAGCCGCGGUAAUACGUAGGGCGCAAGCGUUGUCCGGAAUUAUUGGGCGUAAAGAGCUCGUAGGCGGUCUGUCGCGUCUGGUGUGAAAUCCCGAGGCUCAACCUCGGGCUUGCAUCGGGUACGGGCAGACUAGAGUGCGGUAGGGGAGACUGGAAUUCCUGGUGUAGCGGUGGAAUGCGCAGAUAUCAGGAGGAACACCGAUGGCGAAGGCAGGUCUCUGGGCCGCAACUGACGCUGAGGAGCGAAAGCAUGGGGAGCGAACAGGAUUAGAUACCCUGGUAGUCCAUGCCGUAAACGUUGGGCACUAGGUGUGGGGCUCAUUCCACGAGUUCCGUGCCGCAGCUAACGCAUUAAGUGCCCCGCCUGGGGAGUACGGCCGCAAGGCUAAAACUCAAAGGAAUUGACGGGGGCCCGCACAAGCGGCGGAGCAUGCGGAUUAAUUCGAUGCAACGCGAAGAACCUUACCAAGGCUUGACAUGUACGAGAAAGCCCCCGAGACGGGGUUCUCUUUGGACACUCGUACACAGGUGGUGCAUGGUUGUCGUCAGCUCGUGUCGUGAGAUGUUGGGUUAAGUCCCGCAACGAGCGCAACCCUCGUCCUAUGUUGCCAGCGGGUUAUGCCGGGGACUCAUGGGAGACUGCCGGGGUCAACUCGGAGGAAGGUGGGGAUGACGUCAAAUCAUCAUGCCCCUUAUGUCUUGGGCUUCACGCAUGCUACAAUGGCCGGUACAGAGGGCUGCGAUACCGUAAGGUGGAGCGAAUCCCAAAAAGCCGGU
rnacentral:rRNA from 1 species